GCCGCUGUGGUGGAAUUGGCAGACACAAGGGACUUAAAAUCCCUCGAACCAAAAGUUCGUACCGGUUCAAGCCCGGUCAGCGGCA
rnacentral:tRNA from 1 species